rnacentral:rRNA from 1 species
UCCUAGCCUUAUUAUCUGCUUUCUCUCGACUUAUACAUGCAAGUCUCAGCACCCCAGUGAGGACGCCCUUAUCCCUUACAAGGCUUAGGAGCCGGUAUCAGGCGCAGCCCAUCACACCUAGUUCUACCACACCCCCAAGGGUCUUCAGCAGUAAUAAAUAUUGUACAUAAGCGACAGCUUGAUCCAGUCAGAGAGAAGAGAGUCGGCCAACCUGGUGCCAGCCGCCGCGGUUAGACUCAAGUAGAUAAUAAUCGGUAAGCGUGAUUAAAGUUUCUAGAUAAUUAGAGUUGAACCUUGGCCCAGCUGUGAAAAGACGAAAGUUACUCUAAUAUUGACUACACGUAAGCUAGGAGAACAAACUGGGAUUAGAUACCCCACUAUG